rnacentral:lncRNA from 1 species
AUGCAUUACGGUCAUAAAGCAGAAAGAUCGACAGUUGGCUCACAGCGUGCUCUGUCUGAGUGUUGGCUGCCAGUGACGAUCUGCGUGCUGCUUUCUGCUGACUUCCUUGACAUGCGUUCAGUUAGAAAACGGCACGGAGAAGGACACAGACGUGACUCAUAAUCCCACCUUCCAAAGUUGACCACGAUUUCUCUGCUGGUUGCUGGUGUGUAUCUGCCUUCUCAUCUUUAAAAAUUUUACAAUCUCGUCUAUUUUUUAUGCGUAUACAACACACACACAUAAGCACACACAUUGACACUGUUGGGAUUACAUAGCUCACGUUGUGGUGUCACGACAACUUCUCACUUUCAGUGAACAAUUUAUUAUAGAUCCCCCUUGUCACUAAGUGUUCUCUUAACCAUAGCCUUAAUAGCUGCAUACCAUUUCAUUGAAUGGAUACCUUAUUUUGGUUCAGUUGCAAAUAUUUUCUCAUUCUGUAAGAAUGUCCUCUUGGGCCCAUGGCCAAAUACACGCUCUUUCCCCUGCUCCCCCGUUAUCUUUGGGUUCCUAGUUUCUGGUUAGAUCACCUCCUGGCAAGAGAGUGUGACCUGCCUGGUCUCAACCCUUUGAGCCUUGUGGAUCUGCCUUUACGGCCCAGCACAUAGUCAAUUUCGUGAAAGUUCCAUGUAGUUUUUUUUCCACAAUUUACCACUUUACUGGGCUUAGCAAACAACAUUUUGACAUGUCAUCAUCCCUUUUUUUUAAUGGUGGUAAAAUACACAUACUAUAUAAGUUACCAUUUUAACCAUUUUUAAGUGUCCGCUUCAGUGGCAUUAAGCACGCUCACAUUGUUGUGCCAUCAUCACCACCAUCCAUUGCCAGAACUUUCUCAUCUUCCCCAAGUGAGGCUCUGUCCCCAUUCGACGCUGACUCCCCAUCCCCCCCCCCAGCCCCUGGGGACCACCAUUCUGUUUUCUGUCUCUAUGAAUUUGACGACUCUAGGAGCCUCAUGUAAGUGGAAUCAUACAAUAUUUGUCUUUUCGUGACUGGCUAAUUUCAUUUAGCACAACACCUUCAAGUUUCACUCAUGUUGUAGCACGUGUCAGAAUAUCCUUUCUUUUCAAGGUUGAAUAAUAUUCCAUUGUGUGGAUGGACCACAUUCUGUUUGUCCCUUCAUUUGUCA